ACGGAAGGCAGCAGUGAGGAAUAUUGGUCAAUGGGCGGAAGCCUGAACCAGCCGUGUCGCGUGCAGGACUACGGCCCUACGGGUCUUAAACUGCUUUUGCAAGGGGAUAAAGUGGGGUACGCGUGCCCCUUUGCAGGUACCUUGCGAAUAAGGAUCGGCUAACUCCGUGCCAGCAGCCGCGGUAAUACGGAGGAUCCGAGCGUUAUCCGGAUUUAUUGGGUUUAAAGGGUGCGUAGGCGGGCUGUUAAGUCAGCGGUGAAGCCCCCGGGCUCAACCCGGGGACUGCCAUUGAAACUGGCGGCCUUAAGUACGUUGGGAGUGCGCGGAAUGUGUGGUGUAGCGGUGAAAUGCAUAGAUAUCACACAGAACACCGAUCGCGUAGGCAGCGCACUACGCCGCAACUGACGCUGAGGCACGAAGGCGCGGGGAUCGAACAGGAUUAGAUACCCUGGUA
rnacentral:rRNA from 1 species